rnacentral:lncRNA from 1 species
CGAGGACAGAGCGAGGCGACCUCAAAUGCACACGUUGUGUCUGGAAGCCUGGGGCUGUCGCUGCUGGCUUCAGCGAGUGGCUGGUAGGAAGUCUAGCCGCAGAACGUCUGCUUGGCUGGGUCGAGUCCAGCGUCGGGGCUGGAGGAUGUGCGUGGCUGUUGACUGGGCUGCACCUCUUGGCCCGCAGGUCUGCUCCUGGGACACGGAGUUCCUGCCCUGGGACGUCCCCGCCAGCGCCCCCCUGGACUGGACAUCAUCGUCCCUUUCUGCCAACAGGGAGUCGGCACAGAGACACAAACAGCGCAAGCUUGCAGAGAAGUGAGGAUGGGAGCAGGAUCCAAACCCAGGGCUGCGGAUCCAACCCCCACCUUCCCCUGUGGGGCACCGUCUGGCUCUUGUCACAGAGAUGGUGGAG